CGGGGCGUAGCGUAGUGGCCAGCGCGCCUGCUUUGGGAGCAGGAGAUCGGGAGUUCGAGUCUCCCCGCCCCGACGA
rnacentral:tRNA from 1 species